rnacentral:rRNA from 1 species
CCUACGGGAGGCAGCAGUGAGGAAUAUUGGUCAAUGGCCGGGAGGCUGAACCAGCCAAGUCGCGUGAGGGAAGACGGCCCUACGGGUUGUAAACCUCUUUUGUCAGGGAGCAAGGUGCAGGUCGGGACCUGCUGUGAGAGUACCUGAAGAAAAAGCAUCGGCUAAAUCCGUGCCAGCAGCCGCGGUAAUACGGAGGAUGCGAGCGUUAUCCGGAUUUAUUGGGUUUAAAGGGUGCGCAGGCGGAGGCACAAGUCAGCGGUAAAAUCGCGGGGCUCAACCCCGCUCCGCCGUUGAAACUGUGGCCCUUGAGUGCGCGAAGGGUAGGCGGAAUGCGUGGUGUAGCGGUGAAAUGCAUAGAUAUCACGCAGAACUCCGAUCGCGAAGGCAGCCUACCGGCGCGCAACUGACGCUCAUGCACGAAAGCGUGGGUAUCGAACAGGAUUAGAUACCCCAGUAGGC